GCGAUUGAGAGUUUGAUCCUGGCUCAGAGCGAACGCUGGCGGCAGGCCUAACACAUGCAAGUCGAGCGCCCGUAGCAAUACGGGAGCGGCAGACGGGAGAGUAACACGUGGGAACGCGCCCUUCGGUUCGGAAUAACUCAGGGAAACUUGAGCUAAUACCGGAUACGCCCUUACGGGGAAAGAUUUAUCGCUCUUGGAGGGGCCCGCGUCGGAUUAGCUGGUCGGUGGGGUAACGGCCCACCAAGGCGACGAUCCGUAGCUGGUCUGAGAGGACGAUCAGCCACACUGGGACUGAGACACGGCCCAGACUCCUACGGGAGGCAGCAGUCGGGAAUUUUGCUCAAUGGGCGAAAGCCUGAAGCAGCAACGCCGCGUGAGGGAUGACGGCCUUCGGGUUGUAAACCUCUUUUCUCAGGGACGAUGAUGACGGUACCUGAGGAAUAAGCCACGGCAAACUACGUGCCAGCAGCCGCGGU
rnacentral:rRNA from 1 species